CGCNGGNCNCNCCNUAUACAUGCAAGCUCGAGCGGUAGAGAGAANCUUGCUUCUCUUGAGAGCGGCGGACGGGUGAGUAAUGCCUAGGAAUCUGCCUGGUAGUGGGGGAUAACGCUCGGAAACGGACGCUAAUACCGCAUACGUCCUACGGGAGAAAGCAGGGGACCUUCGGGCCUUGCGCUAUCAGAUGAGCCUAGGUCGGAUUAGCUAGUUGGUGAGGUAAUGGCUCACCAAGGCGACGAUCCGUAACUGGUCUGAGAGGAUGAUCAGUCACACUGGAACUGAGACACGGUCCAGACUCCUACGGGAGGCAGCAGUGGGGAAUAUUGGACAAUGGGCGAAAGCCUGAUCCAGCCAUGCCGCGUGUGUGAAGAAGGUCUUCGGAUUGUAAAGCACUUUAAGUUGGGAGGAAGGGCAUUAACCUAAUACGUUAGUGUUUUGACGUUACCGACAGAAUAAGCACCGGCUAACUCUGUGCCAGCAGCCGCGGUAAUACAGAGGGUGCAAGCGUUAAUCGGAAUUACUGGGCGUAAAGCGCGCGUAGGUGGUUUGUUAAGUUGAAUGUGAAAUCCCCGGGCUCAACCUGGGAACUGCAUCCAAAACUGGCAAGCUAGAGUAUGGUAGAGGGUGGUGGAAUUUCCUGUGUAGCGGUGAAAUGCGUAGAUAUAGGAAGGAACACCAGUGGCGAAGGCGACCACCUGGACUGAUACUGACACUGAGGUGCGAAAGCGUGGGGGAGCAACAGGAUUANAUACCCUGGUAGUCCNCCCCGUAACGAUGUCCACUAGCCGUUGGGGACCUNGAGUCUUUAGUGGCNCACCUAACNCAUUAAUUGACCCCCUGGGGAGUCGGCCCCAGGUUAAACUCAAUGANUGACGGGGCCCCCAANCGGNGAACNUGGGUUUAUUNNAACACNNAAAACUUNCNGGCNUGAAUCNAGAACUCCNAANGGAGGGGCNU
rnacentral:rRNA from 1 species